rnacentral:sRNA from 1 species
UGUAUGUACAUGCCUUUCUGUAGUCUGACACUUGACUUAGUCUUUUGGUAUUUUUGGAGGGGUAUUUUGGACUGUUCACAUCUUUCUUUUUCCUCUUCUCCCUUCGCGCUGCUGCGUUUUUGCCGCUAUUCGGCUACUUUUUCUCAUCAAUGGAAAAUUCUCAACGAUCUCAUACUUUCCGCUCGAAGACCGCCGAGCCGAUGCCCUCGGCAACCUCAAAUCCCUCCCCGACGAACUCAUCUGCACCAUCUUAGAUUACGUCACUCCUCGAGACAUUGCUCGUCUCGCUUGCGUCAUCAGCUUUUGUGUUAUGUAUAUAUUCUGCAACGAAGAGCAGCUUUGGAUGAGUCUUUGCCUCAAGAAAGUCAACGAUCCACUUCAAUACAAGGUCUCCUGGAAAAAGACAGCAUUGCAUUUGUAAUGAUGCAGGGAGAAUUUGCCGAAUGAAUAUGUAGAAUAUUGCAGAAAACCAUUGCAGUUCGGGUAUUCCGUUUGUGAUGGACUUUUUUCGGGUUUUACUAUGAUGGGAGGCUUAUCUUCGGUUGUGCCGCCUAGGUUCUGGCUAAAAAAAAAUUUUUGCAGUUGGGGUAUUGAAUCAAAACACGGAGGUUUCAUCGCAACCGAUUCUGUUUGAGCAUGGAUGAUGCAUUGAGAAAUGUUUAUCCAGAGAUGCAAGUGGCUUGACUGAGAUGCUUUGAUGCAGGCAAUAUUAUGGUUGCUUUUGCUUAAUAUUUUUUUGCUGAUUAUUUUUUUAUGUUUCCUAUCAUUCAAUUUUUUAUAUAACUUGAACAUUUUAAUGAUGAUAAAUGUUAUCAAGUCUCAGUUGUUUUAUGCAUUGUUGAUUGGAACUACCUAUCAAAGCUAAAUGUGUUGGAUUGACUUUUAACAGUUGCAUGUACUGUUACGUUUGUAGAGUUGUCAUGGACUGUAGGCGAAGUUGUGAAGUAAAGUUUAUUUCAUUUAGCUGGCGUUUGUGAAGACAGAUGGGUGGAAGAGCAGAUGGAUAUUAUCAAUUGAAAAAGGAAGCGACGGAAAAAGUCUUCAACUUUAAUUUAGUAGUUUAAUUAUUUGCUUAUGUGAUUAUUACUUAUUAGUUGAUUGAAUUGUGAAGAUUUAGCUUAGUUAAUGUUAAAGAUUGAUUAAUUUUGGUUGGAAAAUAUUUCGCAGAUAAAGUUGUUGAGAAAUUGGAAAGAGACUCAUAUAAAGCAAAUGCGCCAUGGCAUUGCCACUCAAAUUCGGAUCUUUGCUCAAGGAACAUGAGAAAAAAGAGAAAGAGUAAGGCAGGUGUGUAAAGCAGGCAGUCAGGCCCUUACUGCAAGCUAAAAGAAGUUGAAGGAACUCUUUAAUAGUUCUCUCUACUACUUUUUAUGAAGGCUGUAAGCUGCUAAGAUUUCUGCAGAAAUUUUGAAAAUACCUAAACUUCAAAUUGAAUAGGGUCCUUAGGGGAACCAUGUGCCUCUUGAACUCGAACCGUGUAGCUUUUGAACUCCCAUGCCUUGCUAAUGCAUGGACAAUACCUUUGUCUUGUUUUUCAAACAUCAUGCUCAUUGAUGUAUAUAAAUAAUUUUUUUACAUUUUGUAACAAAUGUUAUUUGUAGAUACGUGAAAUAUUUAAU